GUACUCGAAUUCCCAUGGGUUCUCCUAUUCCAACCGUUUCAUAGUUUUGAAAAUGCAACCUGAGAAAGAACAUGCGAAAAAGUCAACAUAAAUUUGACCAUACUCGACUGACUUGACUGCCUUUGACCGAGAUUCGAAACCGAAAUCGUCGAAACGUGAACUAUUCUGUUGACUGCUUUGACUCGUUGACCGAGUCGAACCAUACUGAGUUAACCCGAACACUGAGUUGACUCGGUUUGACCGAGUCAACCCGAGUUAGACCAAAUCAGAUCUGACUUUUGUUGACUGAACAUGAGUCCAUUGAGCCAAACUUAACCCCGAGCCUGAACAUGUACCGAACUGAAGCUUGAACCACCUUCACGGACCCGAACUCGAAAUAAAGCCACCAUAAUAACCACGGAGUCGUGUGUCUGACCCGACACCGAACUGAGUCGUGAACCCGAACCAAAACUAGCCUAACCUGAACCAUCAUACCGAAACAAAUUUGUAGCAUCUUGAACCGAGACUCGAGUUACUCCAUGAACCCGAACCAGAACCACUGUUGACCCGAGACGAGCACCCGAAACACGAACAGGUUGAAUCUGAGACUAGAAUUUAAGCUUGAACGGACCUGAAACAAAGUCGCCGUCUCCGAUCAUCUUCACCAUGUCAUCUUCAUCAUCGUCGCAUCACCAUUUUCAUCGACAUCAUCAUCAUCGAUCACGGCUGUGACCGGCCGGACCCGAGAACGAGGUGAGAACGAGGGGGUGGGGGCGUGGUUUGCCGGUUAACCUCAUCUCCGGCAGCCUGUCGGCUUGCCGGCUCCUCCGUGGUUCUCCGGUCAUGAAAAAAAAACGAGGAAGAGACGAAAAUCAGGGGGUGUUGGGGUUGUCGGAGGUGGGAGAGUUGAAGGGGUGCGACUAGGUGGUGUUUGGGUGUCGGAUAGCGGCAACAAGCAGGUGGUCGGAGCUCUUCCGGUGGUUGGUUCGCAGAAGAGAGGGAGCAGGGAU
rnacentral:lncRNA from 1 species